GGGCGAUUAGCUCAGCUGGUUCAGAGCACCUGCCUUACAAGCAGGGGGUCACUGGUUCGAAUCCAGUAUCGCCCACCA
rnacentral:tRNA from 3 species